GAAGUGGUGGUUCAGUGGUAGAAUUCUCAUCUUCCAUGCGAGAGAUCUGGGUUGGAUUCCCAGCCAAAGCA
rnacentral:tRNA from 1 species